AGAAUAUCGGUGACGACAAGAGUGUCAACUUGUCAGCCUAAUUAUUGCUGAAAUUAAAGUGUGCAUUGGGAUAUGGUGUGUACAGUGUCUAAAUAUCAGUGAAUCCCUCUGAGAUUUCUAAAAGGGGGCUGCACUGUCCAUAAAUACUGACAAAUAUCACUCUGCUAGGCAUUGUGUCUCGUUCUUUCAAUCCACGGUUAUCAAAUCGUGGCCACC